rnacentral:rRNA from 1 species
ACUCCUGCGGGAGGCAGCAGUGGGGAAUUUUGGACAAUGGGCGAAAGCCUGAUCCAGCCAUGCCGCGUGCAGGAUGAAGGCCUUCGGGUUGUAAACUGCUUUUGUACGGAACGAAACGGCCUUUUCUAAUAAAGAGGGCUAAUGACGGUACCGUAAGAAUAAGCACCGGCUAACUACGUGCCAGCAGCCGCGGUAAUACGUAGGGUGCAAGCGUUAAUCGGAAUUACUGGGCGUAAAGCGUGCGCAGGCGGUUAUGUAAGACAGUUGUGAAAUCCCCGGGCUCAACCUGGGAACUGCAUCUGUGACUGCAUAGCUAGAGUACGGUAGAGGGGGAUGGAAUUCCGCGUGUAGCAGUGAAAUGCGUAGAUAUGCGGAGGAACACCGAUGGCGAAGGCAAUCCCCUGGACCUGUACUGACGCUCAUGCACGAAAGCGUGGGGAGCAAACAGGAUUAGAUACCCCGGUAGUCCCAUGA